GGGGUUUUAGCGCAGCUGGAAGCGCGCAUCGCUGGCAGCGAUGAGGUCACGGGUUCGAAUCCCGUAAGCUCCACCA
rnacentral:tRNA from 1 species